AGUCGAACGCUUCUUUUUCCACCGGAGCUUGCUCCACCGGAAAAAAAAGAGUGGCGAACGGGUGAGUAACACGUGGGUAACCUGCCCAUCAGAAGGGGAUAACACUUGGAAACAGGUGCUAAUACCGUAUAACAAUCAAAACCGCAUGGUUUUGAUUUGAAAGGCGCUUUCGGGUGUCGCUGAUGGAUGGACCCGCGGUGCAUUAGCUAGUUGGUGAGGUAACGGCUCACCAAGGCCACGAUGCAUAGCCGACCUGAGAGGGUGAUCGGCCACAUUGGGACUGAGACACGGCCCAAACUCCUACGGGAGGCAGCAGUAGGGAAUCUUCGGCAAUGGACGAAAGUCUGACCGAGCAACGCCGCGUGAGUGAAGAAGGUUUUCGGAUCGUAAAACUCUGUUGUUAGAGAAGAACAAGGAUGAGAGUAACUGUUCAUCCCUUGACGGUAUCUAACCAGAAAGCCACGGCUAACUACGUGCCAGCAGCCGCGGUAAUACGUAGGUGGCAAGCGUUGUCCGGAUUUAUUGGGCGUAAAGCGAGCGCAGGCGGUUUCUUAAGUCUGAUGUGAAAGCCCCCGGCUCAACCGGGGAGGGUCAUUGGAAACUGGGAGACUUGAGUGCAGAAGAGGAGAGUGGAAUUCCAUGUGUAGCGGUGAAAUGCGUAGAUAUAUGGAGGAACACCAGUGGCGAAGGCGGCUCUCUGGUCUGUAACUGACGCUGAGGCUCGAAAGCGUGGGGAGCAAACAGGAUUAGAUACCCUGGUAGUCCACGCCGUAAACGAUGAGUGCUAAGUGUUGGAGGGUUUCCGCCCUUCAGUGCUGCAGCUAACGCAUUAAGCACUCCGCCUGGGGAGUACGA
rnacentral:rRNA from 1 species